AGUGGCUGGAGUGGAAGUGAGGAAGAGGGAGAGCUCCUGGGCACCAGAAUGAAUGGGGAGGGUCCUUUAGGGCACUGUGAGGCCAUUAGCUUUUACUCCUACUGAGACUGGACAUCCCAGGAGAGUUUCAGAGCAGAGAAGUGCUAUGACUGCUCUUGAAGUUUAAGAGGACCAGGUGGCUGGCUUUGCUGUGUGUCAGAGAACAGGAGCAGAAACAGGGAGACCAGCUGGGAGGUGACUGCAAAAGUCCAGGUGAGAGGCGAUGGAGCUAGUGAGGAGUGCCGGAGGCCUGGUGUAUUCUGACGGUGCCAGGACCUGUGAUAGGUGCUGAGAGAGUUUGUAGAUAAUAAAACAAAGGUUCAAAGAAGUCAAGUUGUUUGCUCAAGAUCACACAGCUGAUUCUAGACAAAAUGUAUUCAGCAGAGAAGGGAGGAGGAGAACAGUCAAAGGUAAAGAAACCAAGGCUUAGAGACCUGCUCACAGUCGUUUCGUGAGGGAAUGCAACAUCUGGGUCUAGGGUCCAAAUCUAUCUCUGCUGUGAAGAGGAACUCAUACAGGAGAUCUACAUGAUUACCAAUUCUUGGCCUUGCAGUGGAGGGAUUUGUCCUUACAGUGCUGUGGAAACUGGUGAAGAGGUCUGAGUUUGGAUAUAAAGCUGUAGUUUCUGGCCUGGUGCUGGCACCUGAAGUCCACAGACAGCUGGGCAAAGAAGAUGGAUGGGAAGCAGAGGAAGAAAAGGCAAGCUGAAUGAAGGAGAAACUGGUGCCUUCCAUCAUGGAGCUAAAUAUGCAUCUGGUCCAGGAUUCAGGGAAAUUGAUGCAGCAGGAGGAUCUGGCAGGAGCCCAGCUGCUGCCCCUCACCAACAAGGUGAGCUUGUGGAUAAGUGACAACAUGCAUGAGUUCCAACAGUGCUUGGAGCCCUGCAUCCAUCUUCCAAGCAUAAAAAAACAAGAUGGCUACUGCUUCACUUCCACUUUCUACAUCUUAUGCAAAAUGUCUCUUGAGGUCCACACUGUCCAAGAAAUCUGCAGAAAAGACAUAUGGAAGACUUAGUUCUAAGCCAAGUUGAUACAAUAGACAUCUAUCACACACUAUUUAUCAUAAGAUUUGGUGAGGGACGGGGGGUUCACAGAUGCCCUAAACCCCACUGAUAGAUAGCCUAGGGGUUUAUGAGCCUUGGAUUAUUAAAAAUCUCUCUUCUAGUGUUCAUGAUAAUAGGAAUGGCAUCAGUGACUUAAUUAAGAAAACAUCACCUUCUGAAUUUAGGCUGAUCCGUGUCAAUGAGUUUUAAUAGCUGGAAAAAUUUGUAUUUUAGUUACCUUUCUAAUUUUCUCUUCACUUGAGAGCCUGUCAAUCUUCUCAGUACUCAGGAGUCAGUCUGUCAGUACUAAGGAGUCACAUUCUUUACAAUGCCUUUUUAAAAUGUUAAGUUUUAUUUCCUAAUUUUUCAAGCAAAUGCACAUAUUAUUAAAAAUGUAUAUGCCACUGACUUUAGUCAUAAUUAAAUAAAAUAAAUGAGUGGUUUUUCUUUGAAAUCAAAUGUAUCAGGUAAUUUUAAGCCAUGGAAUUGUGUUUAAGUUAUUGCCAUUUAUUUUGAAUUUUUAAACUUAUUGAGCACUGGGUCCUCCUUUAUUCUUACUCUAGUUUUUCACUUUUGCCCUUAUGAAUCUUUUGAGUUAAUAGAAAACCUUUCAGUUAGAUUGUCUCUUGAUCUUUUGACCAAUCUUCAACUUCAUAGAAAGUAGGUAGCCCCUGCCCAUCUGCUUACUGACACAAGGAAAAGCCUUUCUAUUGCUAGGUGCUAUCUAGUGCUGGAUAAUAACAGCUGAGAUAUUGGGAGUUUUAUGCAGUGCUACUUUAUUGCUAUGGGAACUUAGACAACUCUCUUUUCUGAAAACUGUUUUCACAAAAAAAUUGCUUCAUAGGAUUUCACUAAACAUCUUCCCAUUGUCAGGUGGUUCUCAAAGUCUUACAUCUUGUAAUGAAUGUGAUUAUCAAGUUUACAUAAACAUCGAUAAAAAGAAAAGUCUUUUUCUUUUUACCCAUUGUCCAAUAUGUACCUGAGAUACUUUCUGGUAUUAUAUCAUGGAGGCGAAAAAUAGCAGUUGAUGGAAAUAUGGUAUUAGUACAAAAAGUGAUUUUGGAUUUUUAAAACUGUAUUCAUUCAAAAAUUAUGUCCAUUAAAAAAUAAUUCCUAUAGAUAUUUAGUUAGAAAGUAAACAAGACUUCUUAGGUUCUGGCCUUAUGAUCUAAACAGAAAGUUUCAUUCAUGUAUCUUAUCUGUAAAAUUACAUUUGUAAUUUCUUAAUUUUCAUAGAAAAUGACCUCGUUUUAAUUAUUGGUCUUCUGGACUUAGGCAUAG
rnacentral:lncRNA from 1 species